rnacentral:rRNA from 1 species
UACGUAGGGUGCGAGCGUUGUCCGGAAUUAUUGGGCGUAAAGAGCUCGUAGGCGGUUUGUCGCGUCUGCUGUGAAAAUCCAGGGCUUAACCCUGGACCUGCAGUGGGUACGGGCAGACUGGAGUGCGGUAGGGGAGAUCGGAAUUCCUGGUGUAGCGGUGAAAUGCGCAGAUAUCAGGAGGAACACCGGUGGCGAAGGCGGAUCUCUGGGCCGUAACUGGCGCUGAGGAGCGAAAGCAUGGGGAGCGAACAGG